ensembl:lncRNA
CUCAAUUUCUCUUUCAUACCUAAAUUUGAUUUAAAAUUUUUGCUAUUUAUGUCUUCAACUCCUGCCCACCACCCCAAAUACUUUUUCUUACAGUUUUAUAUUCAUGUUUUAUAAAUAGUUUUUUAUGUCUCGGAGGAUAUUAAUUAUGGGUUUUUAUUUUUUCCCAAUAUUUUAUCAACUAUCUUUUCCACUUUAUUUUUUCCAUUUUAUCAUCUAUUUUUUCCAUGUUUUGCUUUUCUCUUGUUUUUGUCUCUGUUGUCUGAGACCUCCCCUAGGUAUCUGGUGAUUCUUAGAUAGCCUAUUUUUAUAUAUUUAAGAUGCAGUGAAGUAGCAGAUUUCAGCAACAGGCUUUGUUGAUCUGUGUGCCUCACUAUAGGGUUAAUGCGUUGUAACUGAACUUUUUUUUGCAGAUACCCCAAAAAUCUAGAGUUUUUUCUUUUUUCCCUUUGACUAUUCAGUUUCUCCAGGAAUGAUUUUCUCACUGAACAGCCUCAAGCUAGAUUGGUCCCUGUUCAUGUUCAAAGUGUUUGAAACCAGCUAAAUAGUAAAGUAAUGCUCAAAAUUCUCCAAGCCAGGCUUCAGCAAUACAUGAACCAUGAACUUCCAGAUGUUCAAGCUGGGUUUAGAAAAGGCAGAGGAACCAGAGAUCAAAUUGCUAACAUCUGCUGGACAUCGAUAAAGCAAGAGAGUUCCAGAAAAACAUCUAUUUCUGCUUUAUUGACUAUGCCAAAGCCUUUGACUGUGUGGAUCACAAUAAACUGUGGAAAAUAAACUGAAAGACAUGGGAAUACCAGACCACCUGAUCUGCCUUUUGGGAAACCUAUAUGCAGAUCAGGAAGCAACAGUUGGAACUGGACAAGGAACAACAGACUGAUUCCAAAUAGGAAAAGGAGUACGUCAAGGCUGUAUAUUGUCACCCUGCUUAUUUAACUCAUAUGCAGAGUACAUCAUGAGAAACGCUGGGCUGGAAGAAGCACAAGCUGGAAUCAAGAUUGCCAGGAGAAAUAUCAAUAACCUCAGAUAUGCAGAUGACACCACCCUUAUGGCUGAAAGUGAAGAGGAGCUAGAGGGCCUCUUGAUGAAAGUGAAAAAGGAGAAUGAAAAAGUUGGCUUAAAGCUCAAUAUUCAGAAAACUAAGAUCAUGGCACCUGGUCCCAUCACUUCAUAGGAAAUAGAUGUGGAAACAGUGGAAACAAUGUCAGACUUUAUUUUUGGGGGUUCCAAAAUCAAAGCACAUAGUGACUGCAGCCAUGAAAUUAAAAGAUGCUGACUCCUUGGAAGGAAAGUUAUGACCAACCUAGAUAGCAUAUUCAGAAACAGAGACAAUACUUUGCCAACAAAGGUCCCUCUAGUCAAGGCUAUGGUUUUUCCAGUGGUCAUGUAUGGAUGUGAGAGUUGAACUGUGAAGAAGGCUGAGCGCCGAAGAAUUGAUGCUUUUGAACUGUGGUGUUGGAGAAGACUCUUGAGAGUCCCUUGGACUGCAAGGAGAUCCAACCAGUCCAUUCUGAAGGAGGUCAGCCCUAGGAUUUCUUUGGAAGGAAUGAUGCUAAAGCUGAAACUCCAGUCCUUUGGCCACCUCUUGCGAAGAGUUGACUCAUUGAAAAAGACUCUGAUGCUGGGAGGGAUUGGAGGCAGGAGGAGAAGGGGAUGACAGAGGAAGAGAUGGCUGAAUGGCAUCACUGACUCGAUGGAAAUGAGUUUGGGUGAACUCCAGGAGUUGCUCAUGGACAGGGAGGCCUGGCAUGCUGCAAUUCAUAGGGUCACAAAGAGUCAGACAUGACUGAGCAAUGAACUGAACUGAAAAUAUUUUGGGGAUGUCUGCAUUUGACUUUGUGCAAACUAUUAAUAUUACUAUCAAAUUGCAAAAACAAUGCCAAUAGUGACAUGACUCUCUUCACUGAGGGUAACAAAGAUAACCAAGCCAUUCUAACAGAUGUAAGGUGAGAUAACUCAUUGCAUUUCCCUGAUGUUAGUAAUGGCACCCCACUCCAGUACUCUUGCCUGGAGAAUCCCAUGGACGGAGGAGCCUGAUAGGCUGCAGUCCAUGGGGUCGCUAGAGUCGGACACGACUGAGCGACUUCACUUUCACUUUCAUGCAUUGGAGAAGGAAAUGGCAACCCACUCCAGUGUUCUUGCCUGGAGAAUCCCAGGGACUAUGGAGCCUGAUGGGCUGCCAUCUACGGGGUCGCACAGAGUCGGACACGACUGAAGCAACUUAGCAGCAGCAGCAGCAGCAGCAGCAGCAGUAACACUGAGCAUCUUUUUGUAUGCCUGUUAAUUGUAUGCUUUCUUUGUAGAAAUAGCUAUUCAUUUCCUGUGCCC